rnacentral:rRNA from 1 species
CCUACGGGUGGCAGCAGUGGGGAAUAUUGCACAAUGGGGGAAACCCUGAUGCAGCGACGCCGCGUGAGUGAAGAAGUAUUUCGGUAUGUAAAGCUCUAUCAGCAGGGAAGAAAAUGACGGUACCUGACUAAGAAGCCCCGGCUACAUACGUGCCAGCAGCCGCGGUAAUACGUAGGGCGCAAGCGUUCUCCGGAUUUACUGGGUGUAAAGGGAGCGUAGGCGGUAAGGCAAGUCUGAUGUGAAAGGCCAGGGCUCAACCCUGGAACUGCAUUGGAGACUGUUUAACUGGAGUGUCGGAGAGGCAAGUGGAAUGCCUAGUGUAGCGGUGAAAUGCGGAGAUAGUAGGAGGAACACCAGUGGCGAAGGCGGCUUGCUGGACGAUGACUGACGCUGAGGCUCGAAAGCGUGGGGAGCAAACAGGAUUAGAUACCCUGGUAGUC